AAGGAUUUAAGUUAUAUAAACUAUCAACCUUCAAAGUUGUAAAAAAAGAUUAUCUUUAAGCCUUA
rnacentral:tRNA from 1 species